GAGGCCCAGGCAGGGCAGGUGUGGGCAGAGCUGCUGUGCAGGCAGAGAGAAGGUGGAGAGAGGCCACCCAGAGCGGGCCUGGCCAUGUGGAGUGCCCUGUGCGUGGGCUUCUUGCCCAUUGUAGACAUUUCAGAAAGUUCUGUCCCUCAAGUCAUUGUGAUAAAAUCAAAGAAACUGAAAGAAGGGGGAAGCUCUGGAAAAGCAGCUUGUUUGGCAAGGAACUUCCUUACAAAGAACAUCAGCUUGGAGAUGCCUUCUCAGGAGGUCGUAUAUGAGCAGAGCACAUCCAUUUGGACGUCAGAGGCAUUGUACAACACAAUUAAAGUGGUCAAUGUGACAAAAGACACAGAGGUGACCUGCACGGCCAAAUCCCACAACAGCACAAUUACAACACAGCCAGAAGAAGAGGCUGAAGAGCCGGUAACAGGAGCCAGUGACACGGUUUGCAACAGCACAGACCCCUCAGCACAAGACCCUGAAGGGCAGAGAGUGAACAUGCUGUCCAUGGCUGUGCUGGGUUUGAGAGUCCUGCUGGCAAAGAGCAUCGCCUUCAAUGUCCUCAUGAGUAUCAAGUUGUUUCUUUUCUGAGACAUGGGGAAUGAAGACAAGAGGAACCCAAAGAAGAUCAGGAAAGAACCUGAACCAGCAGCACAAGGGGUUUGACAAGCAGGGGCAGAGCUGCUGACAGAGACCACCCAGGACACAAGGCAGCCCCUUCCCCUGAAGACACUGAAUGCUGUUCACUCCUGCCUGGCCAGCUGAUUUACACUGAAGACCUUUAAGUGCUUUUGCUGUUUCCUCUCCUCUGCCAACUGAGGAGAGUAGAUUUAUCCUCAUCCUCCUGCUAAGUAGAUCUCCCCCCUCUUCUGGCAUUUGCACACAAGUCUCCAACCUGCUUCAAUAGCUCUGAAGACUCCAGUGCUCACUCUAGAUAGAUGGCCUUUGAAAAGCACCUUUCCCAGGCACGUUGUGUUACUGCCUGUGGAACUGGAGUAGCACUGCUGAGGGAAUUCAAGCCCUGUAGUCGGCAUUUGUUAAAUACAAUUCAUAACAAUAAGAACGAAUGGCAGAUGAGAAGAGCUUUGUAGGACCGGAAGUGAUUUAAUUCAUCCAGAUAAUGUUAAUUUGUUUAUUAAGACUCUAUUACAAAUUCCAAAUGAAUUGCAGCUGCAUUUUAGGUUCCUGUAGUAGUGAUAAAAAUAAAGUUGUGCUAGGCCACAA